UACGUAGGCAGCAAGCGUUGUUCGGAAUUACUGGGCGUAAAGGGCGCGUAGGCGGUUGGAUAAGUCAGCUGUGAAAACCACGGGCUUAACUCGUGGCCUGCAGUUGAGACUGUCUGGCUUGAGUGUGGGAGAGGAGAGUGGAAUUCCUGGUGUAGCGGUGAAAUGCGUAGAUAUCAGGAGGAACACCGGUGGCGAAGGCGGCUCUCUGGACCACAACUAACGCUGAGGCGCGAAAGCUAGGGGAGCAAACAGG
rnacentral:rRNA from 1 species